rnacentral:rRNA from 1 species
UACAGAGGUCUCAAGCGUUGUUCGGAUUCAUUGGGCGUAAAGGGUGCGUAGGCGGCGCGGUAAGUCGGGUGUGAAAUCUCGGAGCUUAACUCCGAAACUGCAUUCGAUACUGCCGUGCUUGAGGACUGGAGAGGAGACUGGAAUUCCUGGUGUAGCGGUGGAAUGCGCAGAUAUCAGGAGGAACACCGAUGGCGAAGGCAGGUCACUGGGCCGCAACUGACGCUGAGGAGCGAAAGCCAGGGGAGCAAACGGG